rnacentral:misc_RNA from 1 species
AGUUGCGUGGUUCGCUAGUUCGUGUUAGUUUCUUUUUAUUUAUGGCAGUGUAAGUGCAUAAGUGUUUAUAGUGUGUAAGGAAUGAGUGUUUAAUAAAUAUAAAGUGCAGUAACAAGUGUGAAGUCAAGUGUUUUCUAUAUUUGUGAAUAUAAAUCCGGUAAAAUGCGUCGCGCAAUUCAGAAUUGGUCGCGCAUCGUAGCAAAGAAAAUAGCUGUUAACAAAACAGUAACGAGUGUCGCCGUCGACUCGUUGUUGUGUUUUGUCUCCGUUGAAUAAGAGCGCAGAUUUCUUUCCGGCCAAUCGACUGAAAGUACUAAAUUGAAAUCUCAACAACAAUAAAAAUAAAAAAAAUAAAAGCAGAAAAAGCAACAAAACACGCCAAACCAAAAUCUGUGAAAAAAAAGAAAAGAUUUUUACUAUCCAAGUGGAAAAAAAAAGUGCGUGAGUGAAUGCGCUGUAAUUGAAUUUGCGGCGACGUGUUUACGGUUUUAUGAAUGUGAAAUGAAAGUAAAAUAUUGAAACGUUAAAAGCGAAAGCGAAACCAGCAAAAACAUAGAAAGAAGUCGAAAAAGAGAUUUCUGUAACUACAAUCUAACAACAUAGAACGUUAUAACAACAACAAAAAUUUCCAAAAAAAAUAUAAAGCCAGCAGUAAAACAGCAAGCUUAAAGCACGCACUAAUACAUAGCGGCAGUUGUUGUCAUAAGUUUUUUAUAUGGAUAAAUUCAUACUAAUAGCUGUUACUCAUACGCAGUGGCAUACACCACAACCAAGAGAGCGUAUAUGCAAGUGAGCAUAAAGUGGACGUAUUUUUGUUAUAGAACACUGUGGUUGCUGCUUAAAUAGAAAAAAUUCGGGUAGCAACACAUACAUGCAAACAUAUGUACAUAUAUACUGCGGAAUAUCUCUGAGGUGCAAAUUCAUUGGGGCAAAAUUUAAAAAAUCUCCAAAAUUUUUAUUCAGAAUUCCUUCACACAUAUAUUGUGCUGCAAAAACAAAGAAAACGAACUGCCAGCUCAGAACAAAUAAUUCAAGCAAUAUAUGGUAAAAAGUGGAGGGAGUGCGAAAUAACUGUAAAAACAAGCAAACAGCGAAUUUUAAGAAUUCCAACGAAUAUUUCAACAUCAAUGCAAAACAUACCGAACAAUUAUCUAAAACAACAAGCGCAGCGUGAACACAACCGCGGUUGUUUGUUUAAUUCUUGAAUGCUGGAUAAACAUGAAAACAUUGUUAUUCCUUUGUUUGUGGCGUGCGUAAAAAUUGCGGCGCAAAAAAAGGGUACUUUGAACUUUGCAUAAGUUCAGCAAGCGAAAUUUCGCAGCGCAACGAAAGUGAAGUGCCAGUGAAGGAUUAUAAAAAAUAGCGCUAGUGAAAAUUGUUGUUAGUGUUGUACAGCUAACCUAACCUGAAGCUCGCGGCGUUACAAUAGCAGCACAAACACGCUGAAAUUGCAAAAAAUAAAUUACAUAAAGUACUCACAAAAAUAAUAACUAAGUGUUAGUGCAACAAAACUCGCGUUAAAUUCAAUAAACUCUCGCGUGUGUUCUCUGCGGAAAUCGAAAAUAAUAAUGGCCGAACGCUGACGCAAAAAGAAUAUUUAAGAUUUAUAGCAGCCAGCAGUUAUACCAAAACUGACGAAGAAUUUAGUGAAAAUGAAAUAAAAUUAAUAAUACACGGAAAUCAUUUUAACUGCAAAAUUGUACAAAAAACAAGGAACAGCUUUGAGACUAAAGAUGGCGACAAACACUUAGGCGCGCGGCAAGCAGUCACAGCACAGUAAACCGUUAUAUGCAGCAGAGUGCCAGCCAGAGGUGCGUUCAAGUGUAACAAAUAUAACGGACCAGCGUCCAACGGCAUUGCCGGCAGCUGCGUGCAAAUACAUUUGCGUCACACAGAUGUUGCAACAACGCCACCUGAGCGAAUAAACAGGAAACGAGCAAAAGGAAAAAAAAACUGUAAAUGGUGUGGCACAGUGCUGUGCUGCGUGUGAAUGUGUGAAUGGGCGACUGAAUGGAGGAAAAAUUGCCAAUUCAGUUGCUCAAUAGCGAUCGCAAACAAUCGAAGUGAAACGUGUGCAACAGCAACAACAACAGCAACAAGAGGAGUAGUAGCAGGAGCAACUGUGCGUUGUUAAGUAAAGGGCGACAUGUGGCAUGCUACACAAAAAAGGCAAGGUUAAAAUAGCGCAACAAACGCAUUUGCAACAGUGUGGCAGCACGGCUGACACUAACGAAAACAAAUGAAAUAAUAAAAUUUCUGCAACAACAAAGCGACACGCGCUCAAACAAGCCCAACAACAAUAAACAAUUUAAAUGUCCAGCAAGCCAAACGCGAAGUGGCAACAAGAGAGAAAAGAGUGUACAAAGCUGGCGACCAACGCAGACGAACUGAAUACAAAACAGCGAAAGGGUAUCAAGUGCCGGCGGCGAGCGGCAGCUUAAAAGCAGCCACGCAUUGGCAGUGAUGUUGGAGGCGUUGCAUGGGCAGCAGCAGCAGCAGUGGCACCACAACUACUACUACUACUACAAAGGCGACGACGACGACGACGACGUCACACAGCGCUCGGUACCCGAGUUGCAAGCAAAUUCCAUCAAUUCUCGUCAACGGCGCAAAGGUAUCAGCAGUCAGGCCAGCUGCCAACGGAUAGGCCGCCAACAACGACACAAUACGCCAGUUUAUGGCAACACACAUGCCCCAGCAGCAAUCGAACGGCAAAUAAAGAAAGAGAACCAACAACAAAGGCAAAAACGACGAGGCAAACGACGGCAGCAGCUUGAACGGCACACAGUUGCCAAGAGGCGAAUUCGGUGCGGCACAGCCGUUCCGCAUGACAAACGACAGCAGCAGCAGCAACAACAACAACAACGGCAAAAGCAUUGCAUUGAGUCGCCGCAUGUUGCCACAUUAGUUUGCUGAUAUCGCAAGCAAACGCUGGUGUACUAUUUCCGGUCGAGCGCCGACAAGGACACACGUCCCGUCAACAACGGCAGGCAAAUAUACCUGCGCUAAGGUUACUCAUACGCAGUGGAGCGGAGCGGACGAGCAGCCGCUCUUGGUUGUGACAUAUCCUUCCUCUUUUUCUUGCUGCUUUUUUCGCUGUGCGCUUCUUGCAACUUCCUUCAACUGCUGUGUGUCGGCAACGCAUUUAAAUUGCCGGCUUACCGCACACCCACACUCACACGCCCACAAUAUCACCACUUCCUGGCAGCAGCAGGGCGUGUGCAAGGCAGUUGUUGCCAUUAACAGCAGCUAUAGCGGGGAAAUAUAUGCAACAGCAACAACAGUAAGCGCUAAGUUGUAGUGGCGUAGCAGCAAUACUAGCAACAACAGCAGUUACAAUAACUUUGAGCGAUAGUCAUUCGAUUGAAGCGCGCAGCAAGGCAAUCCCAGCAAAUAUGAGCAGAAAUUGUAUUGCAAUUUGCUUGUCAGUUUCUCUUGUGCUCAACAUUCUACUAAUGUUGUUGCCACAUGCAGCCAGCGAUGAUUGGUCGGCGAGUUGCGCCUCUAACUGUACCUGUAAGUGGACCAAUGGCAAGAAGUCAGCCAUCUGCAGCUCGCUGCAACUCACAACCAUACCAACAACGCUGAGCACCGAACUACAAGUUCUCGUACUCAACGACAACCAUAUACCCUAUCUGAAUCGCGAGGAAUUCACCAAUUUGGGUCUGCUGAACCUGCAACGCAUAUAUCUGAAAAAGUCCGAGGUACAGUAUGUACACAAAGAAACAUUUCGCAAUUUGAAAAUCUUGGUGGAAAUCGACCUGUCCGACAACAAAAUUGAGAUGAUCGACAAAGACACAUUUAUGGGCAAUGACCGCUUGCGUAUACUCUAUCUAAAUGGCAAUCCACUGAAGAAGCUGGUGGCUUAUCAGUUUCCCAUACUACCGCAUUUGCGUACAUUGGAUCUGCAUAACUGUCUGAUUUCAUAUGUGGAUCCUAUGGCUUUGGCGAACCUAAAUCUCUUGGAGUUUCUCUAUUUGAAGAAUAAUCUGCUCGAAAGCCUCAGUGAAUACGUCUUCCAACAUAUGACGAAUCUGAAGACACUUGUCUUGGAUGAGAAUCCAUGGCAGUGCAAUUGCAAGCUACGCAAAUUUCGUAACUGGUAUGUAAAGAGCAAAUUGAACAGCAUCAGUCUGCUGUGUAAGGGACCGCCGGCGCAGAAAGAUAAGCAGUGGGAGAAUGUGGAUGAAGAGCAAUUCGGCUGCAUGCCCAAAGUGGAGCUCUUCAACAAUGAGGAUGUACAGAAUAUAGACAUAGGAAGCAAUACGACGUUCAGCUGCCUGGUAUAUGGUGAUCCAUUGCCCGAAGUCACCUGGGAGCUGAAUGGUAAAAUCUUGGAUAAUGACAAUGUGAUCUUCGACGCAGAGUCGAUCUCGUCGGACAAGCUGUGGAGCAAUUUGACUGUAUUUAACAUGACAAGCCUGGAUGCAGGCACAUAUGCGUGUAUUGGUUCGAACGUGGUGGGCGUGGCAACACAAAAUAUCAGCAUAUAUCUAACGGAAAUUGUACAACAUGUGUUGGUGAAAACACCGGAGACCUUCUGGUACUUCGGCUUGAUCAUGGGCACAUUCGGCACAAUCUUUCUGCUCAUACUCUUCUCGUUUGUGGUGUGUCUGUGCAAACGCACUUCGCGACAGCGACGCCAUCCGAAGAAAUCCGGCGUAAAACCGAGUGUCAGCUUUAACGAUCAAGAGAAGAAGCUGCUCGAUUUGAGUAUAACAACAACUACAGCGGAUCGCGGUGACAGCUGUAUAAUGGACAACAAUACGACAACAACAAUGAGUAAAACAGAAUCGGUGAUCGGCUUCGAACCAAUCGAAAUACACGCAACGGAGAAUAUGCGCAACAAUCACAAUCAUCACCAGCUGACGCAUCAGCAGGCGCACCAGCAACAGCUACAACAUCAUCACGCGCACAUGGUAGGUGCAGCGGGCGGUGGCAGCGGCAAUGCUACACCAAACUCCUUGAUGGCGCCGAAUCGCCAGCAACUGAUGGCGGUUGCCGACGGUUCUUGCAGCGUGGUCGGUAUACCAACCUCAAUGGCAUCGGGUGUCGGUGGAGCGACGCAUCCGAGUACCAUACCAGAGGAGUUCCCGCUGAACGUGGGCGUCUUUCCGCCACCGCCGGAGUUUUGCUCCAACAUUGUGCCCAAUCCCGCGUAUGGUAAUAUCUUUAUUAGCGUCUCGGUGACGCAGGAUAUGCUGGACGGCGCGGAUAUCAGCAUGUAUCCCGACCUCUUGAAUAUACCGAAGCGUCAACUGAAUGCCGACGGCAGCACUGUGCAGACCGGCGUCAGUGUGACCAGCGGUACGGUUGGUGGCAAUACGAAUGCAACAACAACAACAAUGUUGCCAUCGGGUACAACAACGGCCGUGAAUGUGUCGUCGUUUGCGACGCUGCCGCGCAAUCAUCAACGCCGCGGCAUACUCAAGAAGGACUCAUCGCUGCAGCAUCAACAUUCACUGCAACAACAGCAACAAACGAAUUUGUAUCCACACGAUGAAAUCGUCUCGUAUCACAAUCUGGACACGACCUACAGUCAAGGCUAUCAGGAGCAUCAGCAACAGCAACAACAACAACAACAGCAACGCCAAGCAUAUGCCGCGAAUAUAGUUGGCUUACCGCCGCCACCACCACCACCUGCCACAGCAAACUUGUCAACACAGUGCCACCACAACCAGGCGGCGGCGGCGGCGGUGGCGGCUGCCAUCAACACCAAAGCCUGCGCGGCCUGCAUAGGCACGCUCUCACCACCACCGCCUUCCUGCAGCACACCGCCCACCGCAAUGGACGCCACACCGCUGCGACCGCUUUGCAAAGGCGGCGCCGGCAGUACAGCAGCGUCCGGCAAUGCCGGCUUAAAGUACGACAACAUGGGUCGGCGCAUAACGGCGAGCGGCAAUUCGACGCUCUCGCUGCCCGACGAGGCGGACGAGGAAUGCUUGGAGGAUGAGACACGUUUCAUGGAGGAGACGUGCAGUAUAAAGCAGGGACCACAACAACAAGACUGUCAACAACAAAAACCGACUGCGGCGAAUGCAACGACAGCGAGCGGUAAUUCGAAGUUGGUGGAUGCGGGUGGCGGUGCGGAGUAUGUGUCGCUGUAGUAUUACGGCACGCAGGUGUAAAUUAGUAGGCGUUGUAAGAUACACAGUUAUACAUGGAUACAUCUUUACGGUUAGCGAGAACAAGAGAGUGCUAGUAUUCUUCGAAUCGAAUUAUUCUUUUAUGAAAUCUUGUCCAGAAAAAUUAACGGCAGUUUCACGUUGCAUAUUGAGAGAUAUUUCGGAAAACUCUACCAACAUACAGUAAUAGCAAUUAUUUGAUUCCUCAACUCCAAAAUUAAUGGUAACUCAUUCAGUGCUCACAGUCAAACAAGAUUCUCAAUAAUUUUUCACUGUAAGGGGUUUUUGUUUAGGCAUGUGAUUUGCAAUGAAAAAUAAAUGCAUGCCGUUUAGUGUUAUUAUAAAGAUAGGAUUUACAUUAAGUUUUAAAACUGAUUACUUGAAAGCUAUCCGUGUCCAGCGAAGUUAAAUUACAUGAUGUAGGAGAGCUCACCACAGAUCCAUGCCCUCACCAUACAGCGCCUUCUUGUUGAAACCAAAGCUCGUUCACGUCAACAACCUCCAAUUCAGGUACGAAAAAUUUAUUCAUUUCAAAUAUAGUUGCUAACAUUGGGAUUGGUGACUAUCUCUUUUUGAAGCCAUUCACCCAACGUGUGACUCGCUUAAUGGUUGCUUUGCUUCAAUUAUUGCACGAGUUGGAUUUUACCAUAUAAGUCCUCAAUCCAAGAUCUUUCCACAAAGUCUUCUAUAAAGUGAAUAGACACAGCUUCUUUUGUUGUUCACAAUGACUGAUGAACUCCUUCGAAUCUUCCUCGAUACUCUGCCUCACAGCAGCAAUAGCCUGUUCAGUGCGCACUUAAAGGCGUCUCUGAUGAUGCGCAUUAUCCACUGAAGUUAGCAACUGAUCCAUGGUGGCUCCAAUUACCAGCUAAGCUGAGCGAUUAUGUUGACCGAACACUAGAUGGAGCGCGCAAUGCGCCACCGUCAUUGUGGUAAUAAAGUCCAACAAUUUGAAAGAGUUGUUCCAGGAUUAUUCUGUUCGUUACAAAAUGGCAAACAUAGCUUAGCAUAAAUCUUAUUGGAAAGCACACGUCUAAAGCACUCGUUGUUUUGUAUUUGAAGUAAAUAUUUGUAUAAAUUCGGUUAACAAAAACUGUAAGCAAAAAGGGGCCCACUAUUCACAGCUUACCGAUUUCAUUUGAGAGCAUGUUUUAGUACGCUAGUUUAGCUUCA